CCUACGGGUGGCUGCAGUCGAGAAUCAUUCACAAUGGUGGAGACCCUGAUGCUGCGACGCCGCGUGGGGGAGUGAAGGUCUUAGGAUCGUAAACCCCUGUCAUGUGGGAGCAAAUUAUAAAGAUCGUACCACAAGAGGAAGAGACGGAUAACUCCGUGCCAGCAGCCGCGGUAAUACAGAGGUCUCAAGCGUUGUUCGGAAUCAAUGGGCGUAAAGCGUGCGUAGGCUGUUUCGUAAGUCGGGUGUGAAAGGCGCGGGCUCAACCCGCGGACCGCACAUGAUACUGCGAGACUAGAGUGAGGGAGGGGGAAGCGGAAUGCGCGGUGUAGCAGUGGAAUGCGUAGAUAUCGAGAGGAACACUCGUGGCGAAGGCGGGUUCCUGGA
rnacentral:rRNA from 1 species